UUUUCCCCCAGUGAUAGUUGUACGGAAGGUAUCGUGUGGCUUGAGCAUGGUCGAGAGUCUCAAGCGUCACUUGGAAAGGCAUGAGACCGAAGGAUCCAAACACAAUCGUAGUAGUGUGAGUUUCGGCCUUGUCUUCAAGGUCAAGUUCGAUUUGCCCUUAUUGUGCUAGCUUAAUGAUGAGCUCCUUGAGGAUGAAGCAUUUUCCAAUAGGAUGACUCACGAUACGAUGGUACUUGUAGUACCUAGGAU
rnacentral:lncRNA from 1 species